rnacentral:tmRNA from 1 species
GGGGGCGAACUGGUUUCGACGGGGAUCAUGAAGCGUUGGCUGCAUACCGAGCUUUCCGUCAACUCGUUAAAAGGGUGGAAAUAAAUAUAAUCGCAGACGAUUAUAACUACGCCUUGGCCGCUUAAGGCCAACGUUCUUUCGGGCUUCGCCCACGGGCCUGGAAUGAACGCGGACAGUGGGAUAGCUUUUCCGGGGGCCUGUUGACGGAAAAGUGAAAUCAAGACAGGAUAGCCUUCAAGGAGUUUAGCCUGGAUGACUCCGCGAAGGCGAACAACGACAACCGGGAUAUGUAUGUAGACGCCACCGUGGAUUAUUUUCGGACGCGGGUUCGAUUCCCGCCGCCUCCACCA